AUGAACAUAUUAAUGCUCAAAUAAAAGUUAGAAGCUUUUUUUAAUAUUUCUUU
rnacentral:tRNA from 1 species